UCUUUGCUAGUGUAUCGGUUAGUACACGCGCCUGUCAUAUCUUUGAUGCAACUUGUGUACGCGCGAAAGCUGGGUUCGACUCCCAGGCAGAGAG